rnacentral:lncRNA from 1 species
AGGUUUACAAAAUGAUGUCGAAAAAUACAAAUAAUGCUUAGGAAGCUUGUAUUACAUCAAACAAAUUUAAUUAAAUGCAAAAUUCUAGGAUUCAAACAAGCUGGCAGGUUCGCUAUUCAAUUGCUUUUCAAAACUCAAAACUUUAAUAACACCUUAAGCACUAAAUUCAGCAGCAGUAUGCACAUAUAUUAUCAGCCCAGAAUGACGACCUCAACUGUAGAAACAACGCAUUAGAAUCAUAGCAAUAUUGAGUCACAAUAACCACAAAGUACAGCUAAAUAGUCCAGGAUAUGCUUUUCAAAUAACAGCUCAAAACAUGAAUUUCAAUAGUGUUGGCAUAUAAACUGAAGCAAUGCAGUUGAGUUAACUGAAGCUAAAACUUUUGCAAAAUUCCUUCAACUGUUAGAAAAACUGUAGUAACAACAAUCAAUUAAAGAAAUGUGAAAAUCUCCAUUGUUGAGAGAAAAAUGAACAAUGCAGGGUUGUGGAUAACAUGUAUGAAAUCCUUUCAGCAACAGAAAACAAACAACAAAUUAUUUCCAGCAAGCAUGCAACUUCUGUCAGUAGAUUCUAACCAACUGGACAAUAGUUUAUGUAACAAGAGCACUUAAUUCAACAAGGAGAACAAAUUUUAAGUAAAAACCAGAUUUCAAGCUAUCACUGCUAAAAUUGAGCACAAUCUCAACGGAAACCAAUUUUUGGUAGAUUAAGCUGACUGUAUGCUCAACCAAAUCACAAUUCAGGCUACUCAAUCUCUAGUCCAACUGAAUCCCCUCUAUUAAACGUAAUGACAACAACUAUGAGAAACCAAUGGUAACAAGGUUCAAGCUAGGGGAUCUUCAGCUAUCAAUUUAUUUCAACAAACAACCUUCAGAAUUUCACAGUCAAGCACAAAGAUAACUGGUGUACAAUCCAUGAUUUACUUUCAAACAUGGCCCCACCAACAAUUCAUAGAUUGAAUUAAAAUCACAAUACAAUGCUCCAACAAAUAAAAAUUGAUCUUGACAUAACUUUCGCCAGCAUAAAUGAAGUUUGACAAGAGAAUUCCAACUUGAACUCUAAGAAUUUCAAUAGUAGAGUCCAUUGACGUAACUCAAUUCACACAAUUUCCAACAAACAACUUCUGAAUUCUAAAACUAACCUAUGUGGCUAAAAGUGGCUAGAAUGCAAAAUUUUACUAUGACCCCGACAAAGCCGAGAACCUAAGAUUUACUAAGAAAAUCGGACCCUAUAUGGGUUGCCUAUCACGCCCCGAAAGACGAGAAUCAGGUUUGCGUAAUUCAGGCAGAUUAGAUACGGGCAGGAAUAAAAAAGCAGCUAAUUUUUAAAGAAACACAUUUUCUUUUGUCUCUUUUGUUGGAAAAAGAUGAAACAUGUAAACUCUUUUUGGAUUUUUUUUCUUUUUAUUUAAUUUUCAAGAAAUGAUUGAAAAGAGUAAAAUAUGUUUUUUGAAUUUUUCAUAUAUCUUUUGUUUUUUUUAAUAAAAAUGUGACAAAAAUAUAACUACACCCUACUUGCUCUAUUUCCACACUUCACCCUCCUCUUUUUCUUUUUUCAUUGUUUUUUUUUUCUCAUUUUUUCAUUUACCCUCAGAUAUCAUUGGUCCGCCAAAUGACCCUUUCACCCUUGACAAAAAUGCAACGUGUGGCAUAUAAAAUGCAUCAGGAUGGUCGUUUAAAUUGGGUACAACUGUCCUAGACGGACCCAACCGCAGUGUUAAGUCCCUUAAGUCAAAUGUGUGAUGCAAAUAAGCGUUCCUACUAGGGAUCCAGCAUGAGGCUGGGUUAUUUUAUGUUAAAAACCUUGGUAUGUGUUCUAGACGGUGUACCCGAGCGGACAACUCGAGUCGAGAAGGGGGAUACGUACCGGGAACCAAAAGGCCAUCCAGCUUAGAACCUGUCCGACCUCUUUCUUACUUCAGGGUAUGACACUAACAGAAUAAGGAGUCUCAACCAGUAAGCACAUCCCCUGAGGUGAGAAGUGAAGGGUUUCGUAGCAAUUUAAAUAUACAGUUCAGAUAAUAUUAAAAUGGUAAAAGCAUCAUUUUGCACAUUAAGCCAACAUGUAAAAUUAGAUAACAAACAAAGCCAAAUACAACAACUAUUCUAUGGUCGAAUUCUUGAACCCUGAACAAGAGAUUCUAGGUUCGUUCCCCAACGGAGUCGCCAGAGCUAUCACACCUCCUUUCGGAUACCACAACCCGGUGAACGGCAUAGAUCAGUGAGUUUUUCCAAUGAAAGGACAAUCGAAACAGGAUUUAAUUAUUUAAAAGAUUUUGGAGUUUCCACUUGGGAGAUUUAUGGUGUCCCAAGUCGCCGUUUACAAUCCCGAAUCGAGGAAAGAACGACUCUGUUUAACAGUCCAUGAACCAGAAAUUCGAGUAAGGAAUUCUGUUAACCUGGAAGAAGGCGUUAGGCAUUCCUGCGUUCCGUUGUUCUAGCACGGUCGCUCAAUUGUUAACGGUCACAUAAAUGCACCCGUGGUUUUCGACACAUUCCAACUUUGUAGAGAUUUUGAUUUGGGUCACAUAAAUCAACAUCCGAAUUUAGGAAAGGUAAAUUAUUAAACUAACGUGCCUAAAGCAAUUACUCGUUUGCAACUUUGCGAGGGCCAUGGAAUUUAUUAAAUGGCACGCCUCUAAAUCUAAGGAUCAAUUCAAGAUUAAAUAAAUCGAGGGCCAUGCAAUAUUUAUUUUUGUUUUGCAUGGAGCGCCCCAAUUAUAAUUUAAAAGAGAAUUACAUUUGGAGGACCGUAAAAUUUAAAACUGUUUUUUUAUUUAAGAAACAAUCAAGGUUAUUUAAAACAUAUUGCAAGCCACGUCACAUGAAAUGCACCCGUGGUUCAAAACCUGCAUUUAUUAACCUUGUUUGAAAUUGAAGCAGGGUCACAUGAAAUGCACCGACUGACUCCUUUAAUCUAGUCAUGUAGUUCAUUUGAUGAAUAGCAACCCAAUAUCUAUAUUGUGACACCAUCAUGUCCAGCUAUAUCAAAUUCGAAUAAACAUACGAAUUUGUAUAAAUAAUGUUCCUUCGCACAAUUAUCACCAAGCAGGAUUAACUCCAAUACAAUUACCCUUAAUUUCCUUCACUGUCGUGAUUUACUUUGCGCUCUUGAUGAAUCUCACCUUAAUUUAUUAAGCUAAACAUAUUAUGUGCUCAUCACCCUAAAACUGACCAACCAUUCAUUUUUAUUCCAUCUAAUGUAUCAUAUUCAAAACAAAUUAAGAGAAAGUUUUAAACAAAAUACAAAACAACUAAAUACUCACACGACAUUCAUAUUCAUCAAAGAAAUAAGAACAAGAACAGAAAAUUGAUGCACAUCUUGACGUAGAAAUUCGAACUUAGAUAUAUUCAAUUAUCCUAAGAACUCAACAUGUGUACCACGCCGAUUUAAAGAACACACAAUCGAUCGAAAUUUGAUUAGAACUUCCACCUUAGUGUUAACCAAUAGACAAGAUACUUAUUUUCAAGAAACUUUAAGCAUUAAACAUGCGAGUUGGUCCAUUUCUUUCAUUCGAACACAUGGAAACUUAGGCGACAUCACAAACUAUAUGCUCAAACUUUAGAAGCCAGGAACCAAUUUAGUUCGAAAUAGAACAUGGUGAAAUAUUCGUUGCUCAAACUAUUGAAGACAUUCGAAACACUAUUCAUAUUUUAGGAUCAUAACCAAUUUCCCGAUCAUAAUUUAAAGAUCUAACAACACGUGCUUUAAAAAAAACCAUACUGCUCAUUAAACCAAAUAAUUUCAUGUGCUGCCUCCUGGGAAUAGACGAAAACACACGACAAAGUGACUCUUAUAAUGCAGAAACUAAAGUGAAUUCGAAUAUGUAACAAGGAUGCAAAUCUUUGUGUGUCAUCACAAACCAAUAGGAAUAGACCGAUCGCAAUAUCAAUAAGCCAAAGAUGAACGGAUCUAAUUCGAAAACUUAACUAUAACCUGAACGCUUCAAAUUUUGAUUUCUCACAUACAAACACAUCAAACAGCAAGAUAGCAAAUCGGAUAACAAGAGUAGAUCGACGAAUCACACAACAUCGUAUAAUUGGACAACAGCUGAAACUAAAGCAUAUAAUCAUCACAUAAGUGACAUAAUGAAACAUGGCAAUUGAAAAUUGAGUACUGAAAUUUGCAGCAUGAUAAAGGAAAUAAUUAUUACACAUUUCAGUUCAAUAGACCAUCCAACGACAUUUACAGCAUUUUGAAUCAAAAGCACAUACCUGAAACGCAGAAAAUAAACCAAGACUGCAAUUCAACAAACUCAAAAUCGACCAUGAUGAUCCUCGAACCGGCAACCAAUGGACAAUGCAUCGAUGAAACCUUGAAUUAGUGCAAGAACUUUCGAAUCGUACACGAUCUCAAAUCACCUACAUUUUGGAACAAAAAUCAGAAAGCGAUGCCUCUGAUUUUUUUAGACGAGAGUCAUGAAAACACACAAAGAAAACAGAGUAUUUUCAUUUUUCUUUGUAUGAGCGAUUGAAUCGUUGCUAUGUCUUGGAGUUUGUGGCGAAAAAACAACUCGAAUGAGGAAGUGUAAACGUUGGCGAUGGUGGUUGGCGUGAGAGAAUAGGUCUCCGUUUGGUUUUAGGGGUUGCGGGGUGCGACGUGGAUUGGUAGGUCUUCUCUCGUGAGAGGAUGCGCAAUCCACUCUUCCAUAUCUCCGUCGUGUCUCUAUUUUCCUGGUGUGUGUUCUCUUCCUCUGUAUAGACAUGUGUAUCUGCGUGUAUUUGUUAAGAAGAAGCCAAAGCUGCGCAUCCCUUCUCCCAAUUUCCAAGCAUAUCUAUUGUUCUCUAUGUAUCGUGUGUCUAUUGUAUUUUGUGUAUUAGGUCUAGAUUUUGUUUUAGGUGGAAAAUGGGUUUGGGUAUUGGGUUUGGUCGGGUCGACCCG